AGAGAGAGAGAGAGAGAGAGGAAGAAGAGAGAAGAAGGAGGAGAAAGAGAAGGGAGGAGGAGCAGGAGAGAAAAGUAGAGUAGAGAUAAGCAUCUCUCUUAUUCGGGACCUCUGGGAUUUGUCUAAGCGCCGGGGGUGGGGGUGAGGGCAGUUGGCUCUCCCCUCCCCCCUCCAGCAGCGCCCCAGACUCUGAGAUCGGCCCCUCUGGGAUCUCUCAGGCCUUUGCUGAGGAGAUAUAGCAGGGAUCGUAGAAGGGAAUGGAAGGAAAUGGGCCUGGAGGCAAGAGUGAAGAGCUAUCUUUCCGCUUUGACUUUCCAAGGGUCCUAGGAAACUUUGCUGGAACCGAAAGACAAACUUUGAUUUUCGCGCUGUCGCUCCCUCCCCUACUACCCUAAACCGGCGGCCUUCUUCCUUUGCCUGUUACUGCCAACUUCUUUUCUUUCUUUCGUCUUUCUUUUUUUUUUCCUUUUGACUUCCUUCUUUUCGCCUCCCUGGCCCCUCCGCCGCUGACCUGAGCGAGGGAAUGCCGUUAGUCCAAGCCACGGGACCCCUACCCCCUACCCCCCCAUCUCCUCGAGAUCGUGAGUGGCUGCCCUCACCCCUUAAGGCCUUGAGCCUCAUGGCGGGACCGAACCGAUUCCCUGGGACUAGUGCCACUUUGAACUAGGGGAAAAGUUUCCUUGAGCCUUGGAAGGGCUGGGCUCCGCCCUCAGACUGGGGGCACUGCUUGGGGACUCUUGGUUACUUCUGUAUCAACCCAACAACUUAGACGCCUGCAGGCUGGGGCGCAUCUGCAAUCUGCUUGGAUGUGUGUGGUUGAGGAGCCGGCAAGAAGAUGGGGCCAGGAGCAACUCGGUACCCAAGCAGACUAGAACUUUUCAGAUUCAUUGUUAACAAUAAUGGAUGGUAUUCUGAUUGUGAACAUGCCAGAUGUGUUUCCUGAAGCAAGUCUCAUUGAUUAAAGCUCUCAUGGUGUUCUGUUAUAUACAGAAGUGAAUCAGAAUAAAGUUUCACACAUUAGCAUGAGAGACACAGCUAGAUUCUGGAUAGUUUGGGGACACUGUGAACAGAAGUGUUUACUUUCUAAAGGGAAGGAUGAAAUAUUUUGGAAUGCUAUUGGGGAAUGAUGAAAACAUUCAAAAUCUAGAUCCAUACAAAACCAAAACUGGAAGCCCAGGAAAUUAAUUAAGCAAAGGAAAAAACUUGCAAGCAAAAGGAAGCAAGAUUUAUUUGAGAACACAACAUGGCUCCACAUGGAAAUCAGUCAAGCAUUAAUUCAGAGGCUUGUCAUGAAAUGGAUUCUGAGAGAAAAUGCGGAACUUACACAGCUGUGUGCCUCUUCUCCACCAUCUUGGCCAAAAGUCCCCCAUCCAUAUCUGUUAUUUCAUCACAGGAUUAACUCCCUGGUAUGGACAUUCAUUCCUUCCAUCAAUGUAGAUCAGGAAGUCCUAUAGUUUUAGAGUCAUUUGGAUUAUUGAAAGUUAAGUGCCUUAUCUAUGGCCAUACAACUGGUAUAUAUGUCAGAGGCAAGACCUAAACAUAGAUCUUACUACCUCCAAGGCCAGUUUUCCAUCUAUAUCCUCAGCUUACAAAAGUAUUUAAUGUGUUUUAUUUCAUUCAUUCUUAUAAUAUCCAAGAGUAUUAAGAAGGGAAAGAGUAUUUUCUGAACAAAAGAUAUUUAUCAAUUCUAAGUAAAAAACAAAAGGUACUAAGAACAUCUGCAAAUCUAAAGGCCAAUAAGUAAUAAAAUCUUAAAUACCCUAUUGUAUAGAACCAGCUAGAUGAAAACCAGACCAACAAAAAAUGAAUUUAAAAUAAUAUUGGUAAUCUAAAGACCAGUGGCAUUUAUAUAAUUUAAGAAAAAAUGUGAUUAAAAAGAUAAACUUUAGGAAAUUAUAUAAAGUUUAUCUUAAGAUCUCCCAGAGAUAUAACUAUUUAGGAAAUCUCUAUUUAAAAUUCUGUACUAAAAGAAAUGACAGCUAGUACAUUGCAUAGACUGGAUUCAGACAUCUUCCUGAGUUCAGAUGUGAACCUCAAACACUUACUAGAGCUGUGUGACCACAGGGAAGUCAUUUAAGUCUUUUUGCCUCAGUUUCCUCAUUUGUAAAAUGAGCUAGAGAAGAAAAUGACAAACCACUCCAAUGGAAAUUCCCUCCCCAAGUUCCCAUAAAGAACUUUAAAAGGAUAACAAAUAAACAGAGAAAAUAUUCAUUUCCCAUAGUAAAGUCCAAGAUAUUUAUCCAAUAAUCUAUUAGAGAUUAUGUUCUUUCAUUCAUGUAGUAAUGUCCAGUGAGUGACUAUUCAUUUGUUCAACAUCAUUUAUUAAAAAUUACACCCAACGCACUGUUUUAGACUUUGAGGAAGAUACAGAUAACUAAGGUCAGAUUCUAGAUUUUGAAGUCUACUAUUAGAAAACCAACACAUUUUGCCAAGAAAACUCCAAAUGGGGUCACAAAGACUCAGACAUGACUAAAAAAGACUAAGCAAAACUCACAAAAAAAAAAAAAAAAAGAAAUUGAGAAACUGAUCCCCCUUUGGUAGUGGAAAAUGUACUAGAUUUGGAAUCAAAGGACCUAAGUUGAAUUUUGUAUUUCCUAUUUACUAUGACCCUGGGCAAGUCACUUAUGGAACUCAGUUUCCUCAUUUAUAAAAAUAAAGGGGGUGGAUUAGCUGAUCUUUCAAACUAGCAUCUAUUUGAAGUAUUACUUAGCACACCAAAAGCUUAAGGGAUCUGCCAGAGGUCUCACUGCCAGUUUAUGGGAGAUAAGAUUUGAACUUGACUUUUCCUGCCUCUAAGAUCAUGUUCUAUCAUUCUCUACAUACUAUUUCCACUAUACAAGCAUUCCUCUGUCAUUAGGAUAUGCAUGUUUUAAGAUGCUCAUUUUUCCAACAAGAUUGGAAAAUAGAUUGUAUUUCAUUAAGAAAACCAGAGAUAAACUCUAACCAGUGCUAAGUCCAGCUCUAAAUCUAUGAUCCCAUGAGUCUUGAUGGAUGUUCCUCAUAAAGAACUUAUAAAGGAUAACAAAUAGAAAAAGUAUUCAUUUCCCACAGUAAAGUCCAAGAUAUUUAUCCAACAAUAAAUGUCAUUUCAAUAUGAAGCUUUUCUUGGAGUUGGCUAGCAAUUGAUAUUGCAGGACAUGUGUUUUUAAGUAACAAUUAAGAUGCUUGAAGAUGCUGUUAUCAUCUUCCAUCAGUGGAAGCUUUCAGAUGGCUAUUUUAAUGAAUCCCCAGCUAGAGUGGGCUUCAGGAUUUACUAUGGAUUCAAAGUGACACAGCCCAUAUUUAAUCAGGGGAUUUAAAAGCUGAAUGCAAAAGAAAAAUUCACUCUGUCCAAAACCAGUUUGGACUUAUCACUGAGCAAAAGUUACAUGUAAACAAUAAAACUCAGGGGCAAGAGUCAAAUCUGUCAUAUGCUGCUAAGGGAAUUUAAACACCAAGCCAUAUGCUCUAAAUGUUUUUCUGGCUGAACAGUGUAACUUCAGUCUUGUGCUUUCUUUGUUCAUGCAUAUAAUUUUCAGGCAAGCCCCAAGACCAGAGACUGCACCAAACUAUAGAGAGUCAUCUCAAAACCACUUUUUAAAAAAUCUAAAUUAUUAAACAAAUAGCUCUUUAAUAUUUUUUAAAUUUUAAUUUAAAAUAUGUGUUUACUAACUGGAGAGUACACCAAUGUCCUGCCAGGAAACUGAAUUGUUUCCAUUUUAAUUUUCUUAGGAAGAUUCUGAAGAUCACCCAGCAGCUUUGAAACAAUUAUUAAAAAUAAUUUGACAAGGCAUAAUACUUGUUAUAAUAUGAAAAUAGGAAAGCCAUGGGUGUUCUAAGCACAUAAUUAUAAACAAAACAUUUAUUACUUUUUUUUUUACUGGCCCAUUGAUUUCAGUAGUAUAAAGAACUUAUUCUGCCAGGAUAGAUUAGCAACUACUUUGCAACUUAAAGUCCUAGGUGUCAGGUUGGUAGAGCACUGAAUCUGGAGACUAGAAGAUCUGAAUUCAAAUCCAACUUCAGAUCUUUACUAGUUAUAUGAGCUAAGCUAGUCAUUUAGUUUCUGUUUGCCUCAAUUUCCUCAUCUGAAAUUUGGGGAUUAAAAAAUUAGCCCCUACCUCUCAAGAUCGUUGUGAGGAUCAGAUAAAAUAAUUGUAAAGACUCAGUUUCCACCACUACACACCUGUCAGAUUGGCUAGAAUGACAAGGAAAGAUAAUGGGGAAUGUUGGAGGGGAUGUGGGAAAACAGGGACACUGAUACAUUGUUGGUGGAAUUGUGAACACAUCCAGCCAUUCUGGAGAGCAAUUUGAAACUAUGCUCAAAAAGUUAUCAAACUAUGCAUACCCUUUGAUCCAGCAGUAUUUCUACUGGACUUAUAUCCCAAAGAGAUACUAAAGAAAGGAAAGGGACCUGUAUGUGCCAAAAUGUUUGUGGCAGCCCUGUUUGUAGUGGCUAGAAACUGGAAAAUGAAAGGAUGUCCAUCAAUUGGAGAAUGGUUGAGUAAAUUGUGGUAUAUGAAUGUUAUGGAAUAUUAUUGUUCUGUAAGGAAUGACCAGUAGGAUGAAUACAGAGAGGACUGGCGAGACUUACAUGAACUGAUGCUGAGUGAAAUGAGCAGAACCAGGAGAUCAUUAUAUACCCCAACAAUGAUACUGUUUGAGGAUGUAUUCUGAUGGAAGUGGAUCUCUUCAAUAAAGAGAGCCUUAAUUGAUCAAAGAUGGACAGAAGCAGCUACACCCAGAGAAAGAACACUGGGAAAUGAAUAUAAACUGCUUGCAUUUUUGUUUUUCUUUCUGGGUUAUUUAUACCUUCUGAAUUCAAUUCUCCCUGUGCAACAAGAAAACUGUCCGGUUUUGCACACAUAUAUUGUAUCUAGUAUAUACUGUAACCCAUUCAACAUGUAAAGGACUGCUUGCCAUCUGGGGGAAGGGGUGGAGGGAGGGAGGGGAAAAAUCAGAACAGAAGUGAAUGCAAGGGAAAAUGCUGUAAAAAAUUGCCCUGGCAUGCGUUCUAUCAAUAAAAAGUUAUUAAAAAUAAAUAAAUAAAUAAAAAGACUCAGUUUCCUCAUCUGUAAAAUUCAGAUAAAAAUAGCACUUAUCUCCCAGGGUUGUGGUGAGGAUCAAAAGAAAUAAUUGUAAACUAUUCAGGACAGCACUAAAUAAAAGUGCCCUGUUGCUGUCAUUGUUAUUAUAAAAUAGUAAUUAUUAAAGAAUUACCUAGUAAAAUAAGAGCCUGCCUGGGGAUGGGUAGUUAUGCAGUGAACAAAGCAGUGGGUUUGAGGUCAAGAAGUCCUGAAGUCAAAUGUGAGCUCAGAAAUUUGCUAGCUGUGGGUCCUGGGCAAAUCAUUUAAUCUCUGUUUGCCUCAAUUCACUCAUCCAUAAAAUAAAGAUAAUAACUGUACCUGUCUCAGAGGGUUGUUGUAAAGAUCAAAUAAGAUAUUUGUUAAGCAUGAAAAAUAAUAUCUGGCACACAGUAGACAUUUAAUAAUUGUUCCUUUUCCCUCUCCACAGUCUUGCAGUCAGAAUGCGUCAGAAGUAGAAUUGGAAUUCCAAUCAUCCCGAUUUUAAGAACAGUGCUCUCAUCUGCAACAGGGAUGUCUUGUGUCUUGGGAUAUGCAAGUUUUAACAUUCUAGUUAAUACUAACAGAUUUAGAAAUAAGUUUUGAAAGAAAUCACUCAACAAAAUUCAGAAAGUAUUGUUUUUGAAAGGUUAUACUUCAGGAAAGAAUUCAGAGAGACAGCAGGCAAAUUUCCUGUUUUUUUAAAUAAAUGCAUUAUUAUGCUCUUUGUUCAAUGAUGCUGAUGCUAAUGUGGAAAAUAGCAGGGCAUAAUUUGUGACUCUCAACCAAUAAUAAUAUUAAUAAUAAACCUCUAUAUUGUACCUAUAAUAUUGUACUAAGUACUUUAGUAAUGGCCCAAUUGGCCACUUCUGGUUGGGUCCC